AGAAUUAUAGUUUAUAUAAAACAUUUGAUUUGCAAUCAAAAAAUAUUGAAUUUCAAUUUAUUUUA
rnacentral:tRNA from 2 species